rnacentral:rRNA from 1 species
UGGGGAAUCUUGCACAAUGGGCGAAAGCCUGAUGCAGCGAUUCCGCGUGAAGGAUGAAGCAUUACGGUGUGUAAACUUCUUUUUUGGUGGAAGACGAAUGACGGUACACCAAGAAUAAGGGACGGCUAACUACGUGCCAGCAGCCGCGGUAAUACGUAGGUCCCGAGCGUUAUCCGGAUUUACUGGGCGUAAAGUGUCCGUAGCCUGAUAUACAAGUCAGUUUUCAAAUAUUCCAGCUCAACUGGAAGAAGGGAAUAGAUACUGUAUAUCUAGAGAUUGUUAGAGGUUAGUGGAAUUUCCGGUGGAGCGGUGAAAUGCGUUGAUAUCGGAAAGAACUCCGAAAGCGAAAGCAGCUAACUAUAAUAAAUCUGACGGUGAGGGACGAAAGCUUGGGGAGCAAACGGG